GCUUUGUACGGCGAGUGAGCGGCAAAGCUCAAAUUUGAAAUCUGGUACCUUUGGUGCCCGAGUUGUAAUUUGUAGAGUACCACUUUGGGACUAUACUUUGCCUAUGUUCCUUGGAACAGGACGUCAUGGAGGGUGAGAAUCCCGUGUGGCGAGGGUGUUAGUUCUUUGUAAAGGGUGCUCGAAGAGUCGAGUUGUUUGGGAAUGCAGCUCUAAGUGGGUGGUAAAUUCCAUCUAAAGCUAAAUACAGGCGAGAGACCGAUAGCGAACAAGUACAGUGAUGGAAAGAUGAAAAGAACUUUGAAAAGAGAGUGAAAAAGUACGUGAAAUUGUUGAAAGGGAAGGGCAUUUGAUCAGACAUGGUGUUUUGCGCCCCGUCCUCCUUGUGGGGG
rnacentral:rRNA from 1 species